rnacentral:rRNA from 1 species
CCUACGGGAGGCUGCAGUGGGGAAUAUUGGACAAUGGGGGGAACCCUGAUCCAGCCAUGCCGCGUGUGUGAAGAAGGCCCUCGGGUUGUAAAGCACUUUCAGUGAGGAAGAACGCCUGGUGGUUAAUACCCAUCAGGAAAGACAUCACUCACAGAAGAAGCACCGACUAACUCCGUGCCAGCAGCCGCGGUAAUACGGAGGGUGCGAGCGUUAAUCGGAAUUACUGGGCGUAAAGCGCGCGUAGGUGGCUUGAUAAGCCGGUUGUGAAAGCCCCGGGCUCAACCUGGGAACGGCAUCCGGAACUGUCAAGCUAGUGUGCAGGAGAGGAAGGUAGAAUUCCCGGUGUAGCGGUGAAAUGCGUAGAGAUCGGGAGGAAUACCAGUGGCGAAGGCGGCCUUCUGGACUGACACUGACACUGAGGUGCGAAAGCGUGGGUAGCAAACAGGAUUAGAUACCCUGGUAGUC